GAUGAACGCCGGCGGCGUGCUUAACACAUGCAAGUCGAACGGAAAGGCCCAAGCUUGCUUGGGUACUCGAGUGGCGAAAGGGUGAGUAACACGUGGGUGAUCUGCCCUGCACUUCGGGAUAAGCCUGGGAAACUGGGUCUAAUCCCGGAUAGGACGAUGGUUUGGAUGCCAUUGUGGAAAGUUUUUUCGGUGUGGGAUGAGCUCGCGGCCUAUCAGCUUGUUGGUGGGGUAAUGGCCUACCAAGGCGUCGACGGGUAGCCGGCCUGAGAGGGUGUACGGCCACAUUGGGACUGGGAUACGGCCCAGACUCCUACGGGAGGCAGCAGUGGGGAAUAUUGCACAAUGGGCGCAAGCCUGAUGCAGCGACGCCGCGUGGGGGAUGACGGCCUUCGGGUUGUAAACUCCUUUCGCUAGGGACGAAGCGUUUUUGUGACGGUACCUGGAGAAGAAGCACCGGCUAACUACGUG
rnacentral:rRNA from 1 species